AUUGAACGCUGGCGGCAGGCCUAACACAUGCAAGUCGAGCGGAUGAAGGGAGCUUGCUCCUGGAUUCAGCGGCGGACGGGUGAGUAAUGCCUAGGAAUCUGCCUGGUAGUGGGGGAUAACGUCCGGAAACGGGCGCUAAUACCGCAUACGUCCUGAGGGAGAAAGUGGGGGAUCUUCGGACCUCACGCUAUCAGAUGAGCCUAGGUCGGAUUAGCUAGUUGGUGGGGUAAAGGCCUACCAAGGCGACGAUCCGUAACUGGUCUGAGAGGAUGAUCAGUCACACUGGAACUGAGACACGGUCCAGACUCCUACGGGAGGCAGCAGUGGGGAAUAUUGGACAAUGGGCGAAAGCCUGAUCCAGACAUGCCGCGUGUGUGAAGAAGGUCUCCGGAUUGUAAAGCACUUUAAGUUGGGAGGAAGGGCAGUAAGUUAAUACCUUGCUGUUUUGACGUUACCAACAGAAUAAGCACCGGCUAACUUCGUG
rnacentral:rRNA from 1 species